rnacentral:rRNA from 1 species
GAUGAACGCUGGCGCCGUGCCUAACACAUGCAAGUCGAACGAGGUAUUUUGAUUGAAGUUUUCGGAUGGAUUUCAAGAUGCCGAGUGGCGGACGGGUGAGUAACGCGUGGGUAACCUGCCUCAUACAGGGGGAUAACGGUUAGAAAUGACUGCUAAUACCGCAUAAGCGCACAGUACCGCAUGGUACGGUGUGAAAAACUCCGGUGGUAUGAGAUGGACCCGCGUCUGAUUAGCUAGUUGGUGAGGUAACGGCCCACCAAGGCGACGAUCAGUAGCCGACCUGAGAGGGUGACCGGCCACAUUGGGACUGAGACACGGCCCAGACUCCUACGGGAGGCAGCAGUGGGGGAUAUUGCACAAUGGAGGAAACUCUGAUGCAGCGACGUCGCGUGAGUGAAGAAGUAUUUCGGUAUGUAAAGCUCUAUCAGCAGGGAAGAAAAUGACGGUACCUGACUAAGAAGCCCCGGCUAACUACGUGCCAGCAGCCGCGGUAAUACGUAGGGGGCAAGCGUUAUCCGGAUUUACUGGGUGUAAAGGGAGCGUAGACGGCGACGCAAGUCUGAAGUGAAAUACCCGGGCUCAACCUGGGAACUGCUUUGGAAACUGUGUUGCUAGAGUGCUGGAGAGGUAAGCGGAAUUCCUAGUGUAGCGGUGAAAUGCGUAGAUAUUAGGAAGAACACCAGUGGCGAAGGCGGCUUACUGGACAGUAACUGACGUUGAGGCUCGAAAGCGUGNGGAGCANACAGG